rnacentral:rRNA from 1 species
UGAGCAAUCACCGCUGUGAAGGUGCUGCAUGGUUGUCGUCAGCUCGUGCCGUGAGGUGUCGGCUUAAGUGCCAUAACGAGCGCAACCCUUAUCUUCAGUUACUAACAGGUCAUGCUGAGGACUCUGGAGAGACUGCCGUCGUAAGAUGUGAGGAAGGUGGGGAUGACGUCAAAUCAGCACGGCCCUUACGUCCGGGGCUACACACGUGUUACAAUGGGGGGUACAGAAGGCAGCUAGCGGGUGACCGUAUGCUAAUCCCAAAAGCCUCUCUCAGUUCGGAUCGAAGUCUGCAACCCGACUUCGUGAAGCUGGAUUCGCUAGUAAUCGCGCAUCAGCCACGGCGCGGUGAAUACGUUCCCGGGCCUUGUACACACCGCCCGUCAAGCCAUGGGAGCCGGGGGUACCUGAAGUACGUAACCGCAAGGAUCGUCCUAGGGUAAAACUGGUGACUGGGGCUAAGUCGUAACAAGGUAGCCGUACCGGAAGGUGCGGCUGGAACACC